GACAGAGGUGCCGAGCGUUAGGCGGAAUCACUGGGCUUAAAGCGUGUGUAGGCGGGUGCGUAAGUAACUUGUGAAAUCCCACGGCUCAACCGUGGAACUGCUUGGUAUACUGCGGGUCUUGAGCCACUUAGGGGCAAGCGGAACAAACGGUGGAGCGGUGAAAUGCGUAGAUAUCGUUUGGAACGCCAAUGGUGAAAACAGCUUGCUGGGAGUGUGCUGACGCUGAGACACGAAAGCCAGGGGAGCAAACAGG
rnacentral:rRNA from 1 species